UACGAAGGGGGCUAGCGUUGCUCGGAAUUACUGGGCGUAAAGGGCGCGUAGGCGGCACUGUUAGUCAGGCGUGAAAUUCCUGGGCUCAACCUGGGGACUGCGCUUGAUACGGCAGAGCUUGAGGAUGGAAGAGGGUCGCGGAAUUCCCAGUGUAGAGGUGAAAUUCGUAGAUAUUGGGAAGAGCACCGGUGGCGAAGGCGGCGACCUGGUCCAUUACUGACGCUGAGGCGCGACAGCGUGGGGAGCAAACAGG
rnacentral:rRNA from 1 species